rnacentral:rRNA from 1 species
UGGGGAAUUUUGGACAAUGGGGGAAACCCUGAUCCAGCCAUCCCGCGUGUGCGAUGAAGGCCUUCGGGUUGUAAAGCACUUUUGGCAGGAAAGAAACGUCGCGGGUUAAUACCUCGCGGAACUGACGGUACCUGCAGAAUAAGCACCGGCUAACUACGUGCCAGCAGCCGCGGUAAUACGUAGGGUGCAAGCGUUAAUCGGAAUUACUGGGCGUAAAGCGUGCGCAGGCGGUUCGGAAAGAAAGAUGUGAAAUCCCAGAGCUUAACUUUGGAACUGCAUUUUUAACUACCGGGCUAGAGUGUGUCAGAGGGAGGUGGAAUUCCGCGUGUAGCAGUGAAAUGCGUAGAUAUGCGGAGGAACACCGAUGGCGAAGGCAGCCUCCUGGGAUAACACUGACGCUCAUGCACGAAAGCGUGGGGAGCAAACAGGAUUAGAUACCCUGGUAGUCCACGCCCUAAACGAUGUCAACUAGCUGUUGGGGUCUUCGGACCUUGGUAGCGCAGCUAACGCGUGAAGUUGACCGCCUGGGGAGUACGGUCGCAAGAUUAAAACUCAAAUG